GGUAAUUUCUAAAAAUAGCGAUAAAUAACUGUCAGAACCGUUGCAAACGCGUGUUUUCACAUGUAAGUUUAAGUUUAUAUAAACAAAGAAAAUCACUUCAGGGCAAACAAAUGUCUUGAUCUAUUUAGGUUGAAUGCACGAUAAUAAGAAUAGGUUGAAUUACCUUUUUAAAGAUAAGCAAUUCAGUUUUGCGAAAUCAAACUUCAGACUUUAAAAUUCAAACUCCAGACUUUAAAAUCUAUUGCAACUAUAGACUGACAGACUGGUAGUGUCUAGUGGAUUUGACACCGGCUUUUUUUACUCUAAUGACUUGUAGCUUGAACCGUUGGACUUCGAAUUCCUUGGUAGUGUAAUUUGAGGAAACAGAUCUUUAUAGCAUACACCUAUUUCAAUAAACGUUGUCGGUGCACUUACGGUUCAACAUAGAUGUGAUGUUUGUAGACAAAACUACGAAGUAUAAGCCAAUUAGAUGCGAUAGAAAUUAAAAAAAAAAUUCUACUUUUUUGUAGCCAAUCCGAUAAAAAACGUUCCGUGGAGAUAAAAAUAUCUGGUUUAGUUUUGGUUCUUUUUGGGGUGGUCAGAUUUUUAUCAGAAAAAUUUAAACUCCCCUUGAACAAACGAGAAUAUAUAUAGGCACACCCAAUCAAACAUACCUCGCGUGAAUUACAUACUGGAAAGAUACAAUGUAUGGCGCGAAGCUAAAUUGCGACCCUGACGGCAUGUUGCACAAUGACAAGUAAAAGAAGCUAGAAAACGUAAACCUGCCGCAAAGUCUUGCAGUUCCCUUGAUUCCUGGGUUCAUCGGAAAGUCAAAGGCAAAGAAAAAGAUGAAGGGUCGUUCGAAGACAGUCUAGAUGGAAGUGGAACGACCACAGAACCCGAAGGCGAUGCACCACCAGGACCCCGGCAGGACCUUGGACCCCUUCAAGUAAAAGACGAUGACAGAGAGGGAAGACUGGUAGAAGAAGAGCUCCAUAAUGAUAGAGCGAAAGGCAUUAUCAUCUUACAAAAGCCGUGGUGAAUUGUUUCCCCAACAGAGAUACCAUCUCAUUAAGAACCAUUUCUUCCCGCCGCAGAUCUUCAAAUUUCCAACCGAAAAAUCCACGGUUGUGAACGAGGCUUUCAGAGGCGCUACCUUCAAGAAUACCCAUGGAUGGCCUACAGCCCCUCCGAAGAUGGUGCAUAUUGUAAAUUCUGCGCCGCGAUGUCGAUAAUGAGACAGCAGAAAGGUCCACUUUAUACAAGCCCCCUUCACGAAGUGGUACAAGCUUGGAGAAAAAGCGGGAGAACAUCAAGCGUCCAAGUGUCACCAAGAGUGCAUGAUCAACGGGCAGCGUUUAUACAGGCAAUCGAGAAUCCAGCGAAAUAUGUAAACACCCUCUUUGGUGAAGAGAAGAAACGCAACAUAGAGCGCAACAAGCACAUAAUCAAAUGUGUUGCGGAAGCAGUGCGCUUUUGCGGUCGCCAAUGCAUUGCCUUUCUUGGUGGUGGAGUCAGGUGUUAACAGCAAAAACGAGCAUGCAUAUCAGCUCAAUAGAAAUGUUGGCAACUUUGUGGCAGCCCUUCAAAUGAUUGCCAAUCACGACGCUGUCCUAGACCAGCACCUCACUGCCACUGGAAUGAGAAAUAGGAACGCAAGGUAUACCUCGCCGCGGAUACAGAAUGAGAUCAUUGAGAUAAAUAGCAACGAUAUGAUACUAGAUGGUAUCUUGGACAAGAUCAGGGCUGCAAAGUCCUUCAGCAUAAUGGCUGAUGAAGUCACAAGCAACAACAAGGAACAGCUAGCUUUAUGUAUCCAUUUCGUCGACGGCAUUCAAGUGCACGAAGAAUUUAUCGGUUUCAUCCACUUACGGAAAAUAACAGGCCAAGAAAUAGCCAAUGUCAUAUUGGAAAAGCUGCAGAGUCUCGGUCUGGACCCGAAAAAAUAUCCGUGGUCAGGGAUAUGAUGGAGCUGCUAAUAUGUCAAGCGACAACAAAUCAAGGAAGUAGCGCCCAAAGCAGUUUAUGUGCACUGCAGUUGACAUUGUCUUAACUUGGUUAUCGCCCAUAGCUGUCACCAACAAAGCAUUAGGAGUGCAAUCGAUAAACUGAAGCAAUGCAGUCUGUUCUUCUUAGGAAGUCCAAAACGAAAAGGUUAAGGAGAUCUAGAAAACCCUCAAACCUAAUUUUGAUAAAUGAAUAAAUAUAAUUUUGGCACUUUUCAAUCCAUAGGUCUUCUUAACUCUGUUAUCGAAAAGGUGAUAGAUGACGCGGAUAGCCGCAAGGCUCUUGUGGAUAAGGUCGGACAAGAUGGGCGGCCCGCCACAAUGCAUACACACAUUUCUACCAGUCAUUUACCUUUAUAAUCACUUCUUUGGAGAAUAUUAUUUAUGGAGCUAAUAGCGAACUGGUGGGUUAAGAGUACUAAGAUGCAUCAUGAGACAGGAGGAGCAAGGACGACGCAGCCUCUUUGCUAACAAGUCUAACCUCCUUCGACUUCAUUGUCUCCUUCCUUGUACUCUACGAGUUCCUAUAACACUUGGCGGGAAUAACAGUGAAGUUGCAAGGCAGAGCUGUAGACAUUGUUAAAGGUAGUCUAUAGCAUUUUUGUCUGCCAAGUGUCUGCCUCGAUUUUCUUUGUAUUUUCCAGAUCCUACAAGAGGAGACCUAUGAGGUGUUGUCAUGUUGUCAAAGAUGGAUGAGACGUUCUCCCAUAUAUAAACCCACGCUAUGCGAAUGGCUGACAUCGUAAAUACUGCUCCAUCGAUGCCGCGUCUCGUUGGGAGACAGGCCAUCGCGUGAACGCCCCGGCUGUUAAUCCCGAGAAGCAUUAUAGGCGUAAUGUAGCAAUCCCCUUCAUGAACAGUCGGAACUAGAAGAGCAAUUCUCAGAUACGACGCGAAACAGUGCAAUGACAGACCAAGUACCGCAGUCCAAGCUCUAAAGGAGUGUGAUAGGGACAUGUUCCCUAAUAUCUCCACGCUGCUACAGAUCUGUUGCACUAUACCAGCUACAAGCUGCGAGUGCGAGAAGCGCCAGUGCACUUCGACGCCUCCACACGUACAACAGAUCGUGCAUGGGGCUGUCGGCAUUGGCCCCUUAUCCAUUGUCACUACGACACCGACGUCGACCUAGAUCAAGUGAUCGAUCACUUUGCAAGAAAACACCCUAGAAGAAUUGACCUUUGAACCCUGCUUGAUUCAUUUUGGGCAGAAAUUAACAGAAUCAUAUACACCAAUAGCAGUCAAGGCCAUGUGUAUAGAUAUGUCAAAAAUAAAAGAGAGCACAUUUA